rnacentral:lncRNA from 1 species
GGGCACCGGACGUGACGUCCUCCCAUGAUCAGCCAAUCCCGCGCCGCCCUCGUGUUUACAGUCUGAGUUCCGCGCAUGCGCUCUAGCAUGUAAAUAACAGCAACCGCGGCGGUGGUUUGUUUGGUGUCGCACAGGCUCAUCAAAUAGACGAAUAACCGGGUUAUAUUUACAGAGAACGUUAUUAUAUCUGCUACGUUCAUGAAAUGUAGUAUGACACAGCAGGCUGUCGAUCAGAGUAACACAGCUGAUCCAGGAGCGAAUGCUGCUCAAUAAAACACUCAAGACCAUUAUUCAAGACCAUUAAUCUGCUGUGGGAUUCGCAGAAAUGCUUACAGAAAACAGGAAACGUCAGCGCGCUGAAGGUGAUGAUGAAGAUGCUCGGAUGCCUCAGGCCAAACGACUGAGUUCAGUCCUCCAGAGCUCAGAGACGGGUAGAGAAUCAUGGGAGUCUGAGUCUUCCAGUAGCGAGAGCAGUUGGAUCAGCAGUCCGGAUCACGCCGCAGGGAGCAGCAGCAGUAGCCAUUGUGGAGUGGAUGUUAUCGGGCCCCACGGCGGCCCCGGCCCCUGCAGUCCCCACAGUGCCUCUAAGCAGUCGGACCCCAUGGACCUGCUGUCCUACCAGCACAUCAACCGUGUCCUGAGGGAAGCCCAUUUCCACAGCUUACAGAGCCGAGCUCAGUCCAAGCACAGGUGACUUUCAGGGACAGAUUAACCCCAUAGUGGACCCCUAGAAGACAGGGUAAAACUUCUUCAUCUCCAUCCUCGUUCAAACCUGCUCCUACUUUCUAGAUCUCUCUGCUAUAGCUCAUUUUAUGUUGAUAUUUUAUUGGAUGGAAAACAUGCCCUGGUACUGUAAGCUCUUUGACUAACUAGAGCACAAAAGUGUUCAUUGUAAGCAAUAACGGCUUGAUUAUGAUGCAAACUUUUGUGACUUUCACACUGUGUACUUUUCUUCUGAAAACAGCUGUAUUGAGAAUUAAGAUGCGGUUUAGUGGGGAUUUGCACUUGGGAAUUUAUGUUGAUCAGAUAUUGAUGUGGACCAUAUAGCAAUGCAGCUGAGCACAUUUAGAUGGGAGGCAUAAAUAUUCCAAUGCACCUCUGAUUAGUGAACUCCAUUGCAGUGCUGUAACGAAUGCAUAAAGACGGCAGUCGAUUUAAUAUGAAAGACUGCGCUGAUGGGCAGAUCUGGGGAAUUUCUUUAUAAUCUUGAAACAGUGGCUCAGAGGUUCUGCCGGAUCUCUUGCCUCCCAACCAUCACUGAAGCUGGUUGCUCAUCCAGGCAUCAGGCCUUCGAGACCCUGCGGAGGUUUUCUUGUGUGCUAUUCAAAUACUGCAUUUUAAAGAUUGUUGUUUAUUUUACUAUACCUUUUUGUAAUGAAAGAUGUACAUUACAUUUUACAUUCAGAUCAUCUACAUUUCUAAAUAAAGAUGGAUGUUCUUAAGCAAACCUGUG